AGAGUUUGAUCAUGGCUCAGGACGAAGCGCUGGCGGCGUGCCUAACACAUGCUAGUCGAACGAGAAACCAGCCUUUGAUUCCUUCGGGAUGAUAAGGCCGGUAGAAAGUGGCGAACGGGUGAGUAACGCGUGGGUAAUCUACCCUUGUAAGUGGGGGAUAACCCUUCUGAUAAGGAGGGCUAAUAUCCGCAUAUCAUCUCUCCCUUCGUAUGAGGGAGAGAUUAUUGAUGGCCCUCUUCUAUAUGCUAUCACUUCAGGAUGAAAUCCGCGGUCCUAUCUAGUCUAGCUGGGAGGGACAACGGCCCCAACCCCUGACCUACGGGGGGGUUUGCCUGUGUAGGGCAUAAUUCCAGACAUUAUUGGGUGUGCUAUGUUUGUUUGUUGGUUUCUGCUAUG
rnacentral:rRNA from 1 species